rnacentral:rRNA from 1 species
CCUACGGGAGACAGCAGUGGGGGAUAUUGCACAAUGGGGGAAACCCUGAUGCAGCGACGCCGCGUGGGUGAAGGAGUAUUUCGGUAUGUAAAGCUCUAUCAGCAGGGAAGAAAAUGACGGUACCUGAUUAAGAAGCCCCGGCUAACUACGUGCCAGCAGCCGCGGUAAUACGUAGGGGGCAAGCGUUAUCCGGAUUUACUGGGUGUAAAGGGGGCGGAGACGGCAGCACAAGGCUGGAGUGAAAUGCCGGGGCUUAACCCCGGAACUGCUUUGGAAACUGCGGAGCUAGAGUGCAGGAGGGGUAAGUGGAAUUCCUAGUGUAGCGGUGAAAUGCGUAGAUAUUAGGAGGAACACCAGCGGCGAAGGCGGCUUACUGGACUGUAACUGACGUUGAGGCUCGAAAGCGUGGGGAGCAAACAGGAUUAGAUACCCGUGUAGUC